rnacentral:rRNA from 2 species
UAUCAAUAAGCGGAGGAAAAGAAACCAACAGGGAUUGCCCCAGUAACGGCGAGUGAAGCGGCAACAGCUCAAAUUUGAAAUCUGGCUCCUAGAGCCCGAGUUGUAAUUUGUAGAGGAUGCUUUUGAUGCGGUGCCUUCCGAGUUCCCUGGAACGGGACGCCAUAGAGGGUGAGAGCCCCGUCUGGUCGGAUGCCAAAUCUCUGUAAAGCUCCUUCGACGAGUCGAGUAGUUUGGGAAUGCUGCUCAAAAUGGGAGGUAUAUGUCUUCUAAAGCUAAAUACCGGCCAGAGACCGAUAGCGCACAAGUAGAGUGAUCGAAAGAUGAAAAGCACUUUGAAAAGAGGGUUAAAUAGUACGUGAAAUUGUUGAAAGGGAAGCGCCUAUGACCAGACUUGGGCCCGGUGAAUCAUCCAGCGUUCUCGCUGGUGCACUUUGCCGGGCACAGGCCAGCAUCAGUUUGUCUUGGGGGAAAAAGGCUUUGGGAACGUGGCUCCUUCGGGAGUGUUAUAGACCAUUGCAUAAUACCCUGAGAUGGACUGAGGUUCGCGCAUCUGCAAGGAUGCUGGCGUAAUGGUCAUCAGCGACCCGUCUUGAAACACGGACCAAGGAGUCGUCUUCGUAUGCGAGUGUUCGGGUGUAAAACCCCUACGCGUAAUGAAAGUGAACGCAGGUGAGAGCUUCGGCGCAUCAUCGACCGAUCCUGAUGUUCUCGGAUGGAUUUGAGUAAGAGCAUACGGGGCCGGACCCGAAAGAAGGUGAACUAUUCCUGUAUAGGGUGAAGCCAGAGGAAACUCUGGUGGAGGCUCGCAGCGGUUCUGACGUGCGAAUCGAUCGUCAAAUAUGGGAAUGGGGGCGAAAGACUAAUCGAACCUUCUAGUAGCUGGUUUCCGCC